rnacentral:rRNA from 1 species
UGAGUAACCUGCCCUUAACUCUGGGAUAAGCCUGGGAAACUGGGUCUAAUACCGGAUAUGACUCCUCAUCGCAUGGUGGGGGGUGGAAAGCUUUAUUGUGGUUUUGGAUGGACUCGCGGCCUAUCAGCUUGUUGGUGAGGUAAUGGCUCACCAAGGCGGCGACGGGUAGCUGGCCUGAGAGGGUGACCGGCCACACUGGGACUGAGACACGGCCCAGACUCCGUACGGGAGCAG